rnacentral:rRNA from 1 species
GGGUUGUGAGGUUAAGCGACUAAGCGUACACGGUGGAUGCCCUGGCAGUCAGAGGCGAUGAAGGACGUGCUAAUCUGCGAAAAGCGUCGGUAAGGUGAUAUGAACCGUUAUAACCGGCGAUGUCCGAAUGGGGAAACCCAGUGCAAUUCGUUGCACUAUCGUUAACUGAAUACAUAGGUUAACGAGGCGAACCGGGGGAACUGAAACAUCUAAGUACCCCGAGGAAAAGAAAUCAACCGAGAUUCCCCCAGUAGCGGCGAGCGAACGGGGAGCAGCCCAGAGUCUGAAUCAGCUUGUGUGUUAGUGGAACGGUCUGGAAAGUCCGACGGUACAGGGUGAUAGUCCCGUACACCAAAAUGCACAGGCUGUGAACUCGAAGAGUAGGGCGGGACACGUGGUAUCCUGUCUGAAUAUGGGGGGACCAUCCUCCAAGGCUAAAUACUCCUGACUGACCGAUAGUGAACCAGUACCGUGAGGGAAAGGCGAAAAGAACCCCGGCGAGGGGAGUGAAAAAGAACCUGAAACCGUGUACGUACAAGCAGUGGGAGCACCUUCGGGUGUGACUGCGUACCUUUUGUAUAAUGGGUCAGCGACUUAUAUUCUGUAGCAAGGUUAACCGUAUAGGGGAGCCGCAGGGAAACCGAGUCUUAACUGGGCGUUAAGUUGCAGGGUAUAGACCCGAAACCCGGUGAUCUAGCCAUGGGCAGGUUGAAGGUUGGGUAACACUAACUGGAGGACCGAACCGACUAAUGUUGAAAAAUUAGCGGAUGACUUGUGGCUGGGGGUGAAAGGCCAAUCAAACCGGGAGAUAGCUGGUUCUCCCCGAAAGCUAUUUAGGUAGCGCCUCGUGAA